rnacentral:lncRNA from 10 species
GGCCAGGCUGGUCUCGAACUCCUGACCUCGUGAUCCACACGGCUCGGCCUCCCAAAGUGCUGAGAUUACAGGCGUGAGCCACUGCGCCUGGCUGCUUCUUUAACUUUUUGAAGCACAGUCUCAAUUAUCAGCUACAUCUACUAGCAGAGAGAUAUUACUAUUCUAGACAGGAGCACUGAGACAGACACCUCUGUCUUUGCAGCUAACAGCUCAUGCAGGGUGAACAUUUUGCAUAUCAGAGUGUAAAGGUUCUCAUGAUAAAGACUGACCUGCCCUCUGUGGCAAAUGGAGAAUUCUGUCUCUCUCACACUCUUCUACCUGUCUCCCACCCAGACUGGAAUAAUCCCCUCCGGCACUUAGGGGACAGGGAAGCACAAACACAUACAACAAAAUUCUAACUGUAAAUUUUGGUGUAGAAACACAAGAAGACAUUGAGUUAGCCCCAAAGGCCCCACCUCCAUUGUUUUGUGACAUUUCUGCUUUCAUGGUGAACCCUGCCCAAGCCCUGUCAGUGAAGUUUUGGUAUCAGCGAGUACAUAGAGAGAGAGAGAUUCUCUGCUUAUAAGCAAGGCACCAACACCCACAUUUCCUUUUAGUUUCUAGCAGCCUGUUGACUGCUUUCAGCAAAACCACAAGAACUUACAGUAUUUUCUAUUUAUCCAAAGUGCUCUAUCAGCUUUGUGGACUCCUCAUUCUUUCCUACUUUGGCUAGGAGAAUGAACAUAUGAGCACAUUUAGACUGCUCCUUUCAAUUCUCCCUCUCACACAACAACCUCGCUAACAGGUUGGCGAGUGGAGGGAUCUUACUCUUACUCAACUCUCAUUUGGGUAAGAGAAUUUGCUACUUGUUCCAGGAAGCCUUCUCAUAAGCCCUGGCCAGGUCUGUGAAGAAUCUUUCUACUUUCCUCUUAUACCAGGUUAUAAGGUUAUAGAUUUAUCAGAAUCAAUCGCAUCAUCACCCAAGCUGUCAAAAAUGUGAACAUUCGUGGAUUUUUUUCUAUUUGCAAGCCAAAAAAUGAAGACUGUCAACUUCAUGGAUAUUAGAAGAAGGCAUGAGAUUCCUAGGCCUGAUGAAAAAUAUUUGAUGGUUCAUCACACAAAUGGAAGCAAGAGCUCCAUAUCUGUAUCUGUUCCCCACGUCCACUCCAAGUGACAGGGAUGAUCAAAGAGACCCAACUGGAUGCUUUCUGCUCAGUAGAUUUUGAUCACAGCUGAGGAAUCUCAAGGUUAAGAAAUCCCAGUGCUUUGGCAGGGCACGGUGGCUCACGCCUGUAAUCCCAGCACUUUUGGAGGCCGAGGCGGGCAGAUCACGAGGUCAGGAGAUUGAGACCAUCCUGGCUAACACGGUGAAACCCCGUCUCUACUAAAAAUACAAAAAAAAAAAGAAAAUUAGCCAGGUGUGGUGGCGGGUACCUGUAGGCCCAGCUACUCUGGAGGCUGAGGCAGGAGAAUGGCGUGAACCCAGGAGGUGGAGCUUGCAGUGAGCCGAAAUUGUGCCACUGCACUCCAGCCUGGGUGACAGAGUGAGACUCCGUCUCAAAAAAAAGAAAAAAAAAACAAAUCCCAGUGCUUUAACAUGUGUUUCAAAGAAAACCUUCCAACCACUGCCUCAGAGAAAGGCAUAAUCUUUAUUAAAUUGUCCAGGUAUUUAUUUGGCCUUUGACCUGAAGAUACACAUCCUUCAAGUCUGUUUCUUUCAUUUAAAAAAAUCCUGAAAAAGACAGCCCAGAAGAAACGCUUAUACAAGAUGUGGGAAAAUGAAGUGAGAGAUCCAUGAAGAAUUGUCUUCCAAAAGGGAGCAACAUUCCCUUACAUGUAUGAGAAUAUUGAUACAGCCAUUAUAAAAAACCGUAAGGUGGCUCAUCACAAUAUUAAACUAGAACUACCAUAUUAUCCAGCAAGCCCACUUCUGGGAUUAUAUCCAAAGGAAAUAAAAUCAGUAUCUCAGAGAGACUUCUGCAAUCCCAGGUUUAUUGCAGCAUUUUCCACAAUAGCCAAAGACACGGAAACAACCUAAAUGCUCAUUAAUAGAUGAAUGGAUACAGAAAUUGUGAUACACACACGCAAUGAAAUAUUAUUCAGCCAUAAAAAAGAAUAAAGUCAUUUGUGAAAAUAUGAAGCUGGAGAAUAUUAAGUAAAAUAAGUCAGACACAGAAAGACAAAUGUUAUAUGAUCUUACUUAUAGAUGGAGCUUAAAAACAUUGAACUCGUAGAAACAGACUACAUAGUGGUUUCCAGGGGCCAGAAGGUAGGGGAAAUGGGGAGACAUUGCUGAAAAGGUACAAACUUUCAGUUAUAAGAUGAAUAAGUUCUGGCAUUCUAAUGUACAGCACGGGUGGCAAUAGAUGUUGUCUCAGUCCCUUCCUGCUGCUUUAACAAAAUACCUGACUAGGUAGUUUAUACAUGACAUAAACUCAAUUGCUUACAGUUAUAUAGGCUGGGAAGUGCAAAAUCAAGCCAUUGGCAGACUGUCUCUGGUGAAGACCUUGGUCUCUGCUUUCAAGAUGACAUCCUGAAUGUUAUGUUCACAGACAGCAGAGGGGCAGAAAGGGCAGAACUCACUCCCUCAAGUCCUUUUAUGAAGUCAUUCAUCUCAAUGAUGAGGGCACAGCCUUUAUGACCUCACCACCUCCUAAAGGCCCCCACCUGUUAACACUAUUGUUUUGGAGUUUAAAGUUUCAACAUGAAUUUAGGCGGAGGACAAACUUUUAAGUCACGGCAGAUGAUACUGAUUUUGUAACAAUUACCACACAAUGUGUAUUUGGAGAUAUCUUGAAUAUAUCCAAUAUUAUCUGUCAACUAAUAUUUUAAAAUUAAACAUACAAAUAAAUAAAAUAUGAAAAUAACUUAUCCAUUGAGCAAAAAAGGCCCACUGAAGAUUUCUGACCAAAACUACCAUUGACUCUUUGGUGCUGUGGGGCUGCUGAAAACUGAAAGAUGAAGAAAAUAACAGAAUUAUACAGUCUUCACAGAAAAGUCAGCUCUGAGGGUGAGAUAUUAACUUGGGUGAGACAAUGACAGGUGACAGCAAAUGAAAAAGAAUUCAUUAUAUUUUGUUAGCUUACUGGAAAAAAAUAAAAUUACUAGUCAUAAAUCUCAAUUCUGAAUCAACUGCAAAAUCAAAUUUUAAAUAUACAUCCUGAUUAAAAAAACAAAAACAGCAUCUCUGUGGCCUUAAAAUAGAGAAAGAUUUCUUAAAUAAAACAAAAAACAUUUAAUAUGCUGGGGAAAGAACAAAUAAAAUUCUAUUAAAAUUAAGACCUUAUCAAAAUACAGAAUAAAUUAUAUUUUGUUAGCUUACUGGAAAAAAUGGAAUUCCUAGCCACAAAAACACUCAAUUAUGAAUGAAUUGCAAAAUAAAAAUUUAAAUAUACAUCCUCAUUUAAAAAACAAAAUCUCUGUGGCCUUAAGAGAAAUAUUUCUUAAAUAAAAAAUAUUUAAUAUACUGGGAAAAAUAACAAAUAAAAUUUUAUUAAAAUUAAGAGCUUAUUAAAAUACAGAAAGAGAGAGACUGAGUGAGAGAGAUACCAAAGAAAGGAAUCCUAUCCAGCUUCAUGUAAAGAACCACCAUAAAUCAAGAAGAAAAAGAGCCCUAAAAUAGCGGGAGAUGAGCAAAGUAAGUCUUCAAAAUAGAGGUUAUUCAAUAACUAAAAAGUGUGCUGAAAUGUUCAAGUCUGUUAGUAAUCGGAGAAAUGUAAAUAAAGCCUGAGACCAUCACACAGCAACCAGAAGACUAAAUGAAAAUGACAGAAAAUACCAUGUGUUGGGCUGGGAUGUGGGUACCCUAGGAAAUUCACACGUUACUUGUUGGCAUGAAAAGUGUUACAAGUAAAAAGUGGUACAAUUUUGGAAAACUGGUAAUAUCACCUACAGCUGAAGAGACGUAAACAUACAACACAACAAUGUGAUUAUUACACAUGUUCCCAACAGAAAUUUGUACAUGUUUCACCAAUACCAAUACAUUUUCUGGAAUUUACAUAGCAGCCCUGUUCCUAAUACCCUCAACUAAAACACAUGCAUAUGUGCAUCAGCACGGAGUGAUUAAUUGUCUGAUAUUCACACAACAGAAUUCAAUGCUAAAAAAAAAAAACCAAAACAACAUGCAGAAUUACCGAAAAACUCAAAACAACCUACUGGAUUUUAAAAGCCAUGUACAAAAGGGCUCCUGCUGCAUGAUGUUUAUAUAAAGUAUAAAAGAGGAAAGUGACCUAUGCUGUUAGAGAUCAAUAUAGUGUCCAUCCCUGAGAAUAAGUGACUGGGAUCACAAGGUGGUAUCUGGUGGUAUCUUUGGGCUAAAAAUGUUCCCCACCCCCCGCUUUUUUUUUUUUUAAGAUCUAAAAAGCCUCAGACAAAACUGUCCCCAAUAUUUAAAACUAUAUGGUGCUAUCCACUUAGGACAUGUGCAUGUAUCUUUAAAUAUUUUAAAUACAUGUAAGAAUUUUUGUUUUAAGUUGAAGGAUGCUAAAUAGAGUAUUGCUGCCCACAGGGCACAGGUAUUAAGUUGCUUGACACUGCGACAGUGUUUAAAAGUAAGCUACAAUUUCUAGGUUAAAAACAAAAAUAAAACAAAAUAUAAAUAAAUAUAAUAAAUAACUAUAUAUGUAAUUAUAUAUAUAUGAGGGAAAAGUAGAAUUCUAUUAAAAUUUAGUACAAAAGAUAAAAAGAAAACAGAGUAGGUAUUGUGAACGCAGCAACGCAAUAAACCCAGUCCCAAAUAUAUCCAUUAUAAUAUUCAACAAAAUAGACUAAUUAUUCCUAUUAAAGACAAAUAUUACCUGAUUGUAUAUAGUUGGAUAAAUUAACCACGAAUUACCUAGUACAGUGAUAUGUUAAAUAUAAUAGACUUUAUGGUAAAUCAUUGUCAUUGUAAUUACUAUUGCUUUUACAUUCUUAAUGUGCAAUUUUUCAGGAUUACUGCUUGAUAGAUAAGCAUAAUCUGGGUGUCACACAGAAAAACAAUCACACCGUUAUGUCCAGAUAAUGUAUUUAUGUAUGUGAGUAUAUACUGUCAGUUUCUUGUAAUGUUACUAUUUUGUAAUUAUGUUUACAGUUCUAUGGAGAUGAGUGAAUAAACAUAUGAGCACUGAACAAACAUAUACAACCCAUGUACUUCUGAGAAGAUUAAGGGAUUUUAAAAUUACUUAUCUAGCUUUGGGAGGCCAAGGCGGGCGGAUCACGAGGUCAGGAGAUCAAGACCAUCCUGGCUAACACGGUGAAACUCCAACUCUACUAAAAAUACAAAAAAUUAGCUGGGUGUGCUGACGGGCACCUGUAGUUCCAGCUACUCGGGAGGCUGAGGCAGGAGAAUCGCUUGAACCCGGGAGGUGGAGGUUGCAGUAAGCUGAGAUUGCGCCACUGCACUCCAGCCUGGGCAACAGAGUGAGACUCCAUCUCAAAAAAAAAAAAAAGGUCAAAUAAAAUCCAAUACUCUGCACUGACCAUUAGUUUCACCCUUAGAAAUGUUACUUGAUUUUUUUCAAUUAUUAAAAGGUUUCCAACAUGUAAAUGUACACCAGUUAAAGUGUCCCUGCAAUGUAUUCAUCACUGUUGUGAUGAGCAGCCAUGUAGUAACUUUCUAUUCUUCACAAAUCUGUGAGGUAGGUGCUGCCAUUAUCAGGAUGAGAACUUAAACAUCGAGAGGGUAAGUCAUUUGUCUAAAUUCAGACACUGGACAGGAGUAGAGUGGGGACUUGAUCCUGUCUGGACUGAAGUCACGGAGUGCCUUUAACUGACAUGCUCUAUUAUGAUUGGUGAGUCAUCUGCUAUUAGAUUUCUGGAUGUGAGCACAUCACAUAACUAGUCUUUUCCUUUCUUGCUGUAACAAUUGCCUUAUAACAUUUCGGAUUUCUACUCAUGUAAAGUUACAGGUUUCAGGUACUAUCUCUACCUGGAAACAGACAGUGUAGACCAUCUGUGUGAUUAAGGGAAAGAGUUCAGAACCCCAGCAACCCACAGUGGAGAAAACCACCUAAGCCUCCAGUGAGGGCUACUAAAUCUUGCUGAAGUUAGCGUCCAUAAGAAGGUCAUUUUGUCUAAGUUCAUCAAGUCUUGUGGUCACAGGAUUAUAUCUUUAGAAUGCUGGUGAGCAGCCAUGCUAACGAAAGCCCCCUUUGGCUAGGAGUUUAGUACUGGGAGGGGUACUGGGAGAGGAUAAUAUAAAGUGAUUAUUUCCCUUGUCUUUGCUCAUCUGCACCUAAAUCAUGAGGAUCUAUGGAUAUGCACCUCAUCAGAAGAGUGCACAUAACAGCAGCAAGAGAAAAAGCAGCACAGAAAACACAAGGUCACUAUGCUUUCCUACACAACAAUCACUUGUCAGGCAACUGUCUGAGAUACCUAAUUCUCCCCAGAGUGGAUGUCUCCUUGUACACGCAUAUGUGUGACACACACACACACACAGAUAUAAGUUGGCUCCGUGUCCCCACCCAAAUCUCACCUUGACUUGUAAUAAUUCCCACGUGUCAAGGGCAAGACCAGGUGGAGGUAACUGAAUCAUGGGGACGGUUUCCCCCGUGCUGUUCUCAUGAUAAUGAGUGAGUCUCAUGAGAUCUGAUGGUUUUAUAAGAAUCUGGCAUUUUCCCUGCUUGUACUUCUCCUUCCUGCCACCUUGUGAAUUUGUGAAGAUGCCUUGCUUCCCCUUCACCUUCUGCCAGGACUGUAAGUUUCCUGAGGCCUCCCUACCAUGCUGAACUGGGAGUCAAUUAAAUCUCUUUCCUUUGUAAAUUGCCCAGUCUCAGGAAUUUCUUCAUAGCAGUUCAAGAAUGAACUAAUAAACUACAUAUAUAUGAAAUAACACUAUAUAGUAUAUAGCACUAUAAACUAUGCUAGGGUACUCAAAUUUCUUUCAAUAUAGAUGCAAAAUGUCUCAAAAGAUGCUACAAAACUGAAUUUACCAAUAUAUAAGAAGACUUACACUUCAUUACCAAGAGAGAUUUAACCCCCCAAAAAAGCAAUGUUGUUUUUGCAUCUAAAAGUCAAUUUGGCUGGGCACAGUGGCUCACAUCUGUAAUCCCAACACUUUGAGAGGGCAAGGCAGGAGAAUCACUUGAGCCCAGGAGUUUGAGACCAGCCUGGGUGACAAAGUUAGACCCAAUUUCUUAUUUUAGAAAGUCAAUUAAUGUGAUAUACCAUGUUAACAGAAUAAAUUUGAAAAACCACAAGAUCAUUCCAAUAGAUGCACAAAAACCAUGAGAAAAACUUCAACAACACUUGACAAUGAAAUAUUCAAUAAUAAUGAACAGCAGGAAACUUUCUCAACCUGCUUUAAGGAAUUUAUUUUAAAAACCCUCAGCUAACAUCAUACAUGAUGAUAAGACUGGAUGCUUUCUUUCUCAGAUUAGACACAAGACACUGUUCGAUCACAGGUCUCUCUCCUUAAACCAAUGUUACCUAUGCAAAUAGCCAAAAAUAAUGACAAUGUAAAGAACAACAGAUGAAAAUAAUAAUUCACGUGAGAAUAUACUCUAUAAUAAACUUUACAUACUUACAAAUUGACAGCAACUCUAUUAGCAAAGAAAAUAGACUCAUUUAUCAAUGGCCAAUUAAUAACAAAAUAAUUAAACUACACAGAAGUUAAACCUACAAAUACAUUUCACACAUCUACUGUGUAACCCACAAAAUUUUUAAAAAAUUUUAAAAAUAUUUUAUACUUUAAAUAUUUAAAAAAUAUUUUUUAAAAUGGCUAUGCAAGAAAAAAGGAAAAGAAAUACAUUUCAAUUUACCCAUAUAACCAACACACUUUAAAAUGGGUAGAAAAAGGAAAUUUAUUUACCAGCUUAAAAAAGAAGAAUACAUAUUUAACUCUUGUACUACUGCUUGAAGAAUACUUACAGAAGUCUUGCCUCAGCUGGGCGUGGUGGCUCACGCCUGUAAUCCCAGCACUUUGGGAGGCUGAAGCGGGCGGAUCACGAGGUCAGGAGAUUGAGACCAUCCUGGCUAACACGGUGAAACCCCAUCUCUACUAAAAAUACAAAAAAUUAGCUGGGCAUGGUGGCAGGCACCUGUAGUCCCAGCUACUCAGGAGGCUGAGGCAGGAGAAUGGCGUGAACCUGGGAGGCAGAGCUUACAGUGAACUGAGAUUGUGCCACUGCACACCAGCCUGGGCGACAAAGUGAGACUCCAUCUCAAAAAAAAAAAAAAAAGUCUCACCUCAAUUUUUUUUUUUUCAAAAGAAGUGAAAAUCUAUAUUCUAGAGACUCUCUUCAAAAAUGAGCAACCAAUAUAUUCAAUUUAUUU